CGACAGGCAUAAUUUUAAAUGUAUCUACUUCAUCAUGGUGCAGUCCUAUAGUCACAUAUGUACAUGUGGGUUUCGCCUUCAAAUAGGCUAUUUUCUGAAGUAAGUGGGUUUACUGUGAAUGCUUUAUGCUACGGCUAAGACUCCCAAGUGCAGCCAGACUAAGCUGGCUCGGCGACGGUCUUCAGUUUAACGAUGUCAGUAUUCUGAGGAGUGCUGCAGAGAACAGAGAAUAAUUUAGGUGCAUUUUCCUUUGUGUGCGGUCCAUUAUUUAGCGAAUACAACGAACAGGGAAGCAUCAUGACACACAUCUACGUAGGCUUCCAUGACCAACGCAACAGCAGCCGUGUUCUGAAGCCACCAGGCGGGGGCACUUCGAACAUAUUCGGUAAUGAAGAUGAAAGGAGCCUCAUUUCGGACUUGGUGGCCCCACCGACUUCUUCAGGGAUCGAAACGAGUCAGUAUAGGGGAAGCAGCAUUCAGGACGUACUGCGGUCAGAAGCGAGCAUUACCACAGUAGUUACUACGGAACAAAGGAACUCUUCAACCGAUCAUAAUGACGAUAAAAGUGAAGAAAGCACAAUUGGUGCAGUCGGCACUGACCCUUCUGGCGCCAAUAGCACCAUAAUCUUAAACGAGUCCAGCGCGAAAAGAGUUGAGAAGUACUCGUCCUGUUCAACGAUUGGAGAUAUUCUCAGCCAGGAGGAGAUCCAAGAAAAGGAAAAGAUUAAAAGACUGAACAGCCCAAGAGUGCCACCAGGCGGCUAUUCUUCCGGUUUAUGGUGAAUUUUAUCAUUGACUUUAACGUUUAUACGCAGGUAUAUCUUAUGUAUUUAAAUACCUGGCCUUAUCUUUUCUCUGUCGAUGGAUUACCCUUGUCAUUAAUAACUAUGUAUAUGUUAGGGUUGUAUUAAAAGUGUUUAUAUGAAACACACCUA